GUUUUUUUUUUUAAACGUUGUAUAAAUAUGUCAAGUUUAUCCAUUUUCCUGUUGAUGAACAUUUUUGUUGUUUCCAAGUUUCUGCUGUUGCUGCAAUGAACAUGUACACGAGGUUCGAUGUAAUUUGGUGGGUUUCACCCUAGGGUAUUGUGUGAAGUUGGCCACUCCAGGAAAUAGAUUUGGAGGUUUGCUUGCAGAAGAUCAUGGGGCGUGCUCUGUGGAACAACACCUGUAAGGGAUUGAAGGAAGCAGGAUUGGGGAGAGAGAGAAGUUAAACCACAAGGCAGUUGAGACAGAAGGGUCAGCUGUGGAGCUGUGCUGAUCCUUCAAGUUGUCCCAAAUUGGGGCAAAGGAGGCUUGGCCUCGUCUGCCUGUGUUGGCUAUGGGCUGCCCCUGAGGAGGCAGUGUGGGUGUGCUUGUCCUGGGCGGGGCAGCACCCUCCAGUAAAGGCUCGUCUCCUCACGUUUGUCAUUUUGUGGGAAUUCUGGACCGCCUCUAUCUGUCCUCCAGAAACGUUCUGCAUCGUCUUCUUCCAGGGAUGGUGGCCUCUAGAUAACACUUUCCCCACCAGCCCUGGCGCUGAGUGGCUUCCCGGUCACUGAUGUCUGGAUGACCUGUUUUCCCUCUUUGGAUCUUUCAGUCCUUUCAAUACUUUCCUAAGAAUCCCCUGAGGUAAAUGCCCCAUCUUGAAAUAUUUUAGCGGUGGUUGUUCCCCUGGCUAGAAAGCGCUGUAACGUUCCUUGAGCUUGCCUCACACUGCAGCCAGAGGAUGGCCGCCGAGGGCUGGGCUUGCCUGGAGACUCUGUGAAGGUGGCACCCCUGCGAGAAGAGAAAACUGGGGCGUUGGCUAAGGAGAGGAAAGCCCUGCUCUCUCGUGAGGGUGGCAAAAAGCUGACAGUGACUGAUGGGCUUUGGCUUUGCAAGCCCCCCCACCAGAGAGGGUCACCUCCUCCAGGAUCCUUCUGAGGCCCUCCAAGAACCUGCACACCCAACCCCGGUUUGUGCCGUGGCACCACACCUCCUUCCCAGAGUGCGUCCUUUCUCCCCCUCCCACCCCAAAUUCCCCCGGCGGGGCAGGAAAGACAUCUUCUCAGUGCCCUGCAGCCCUUGCUGAUGGAGGAGUGGGAGCAGGGCAGGAGGCAAGGGCAUGAUGGGAGCUCCCACAGGCCGGAACUCACCCUCCUGGCCAGCACCCUAAAGUCUUGUUUGCCCAACCAAGUUUCCUCCUCCGCACUGGACACGGAGGACGGGGAGGGAUCCUGUGAGCGCUCAGGAAAAACACAUAAAGAACUGUGUCAGCCUAAAUCAACUCUUAAAUAUUUAAUUCCCAUUUAUUUAAAG
rnacentral:lncRNA from 1 species